rnacentral:lncRNA from 1 species
GAUUCUAGGAGGUGCUGCAGCAGGAGCUGACUCGGCCAUUUCCUGGCCUCUUUAGUUGGAAGAUGACAGAAAGGCGGAAGCAGGGACUGCUAUUGUGAGGCCCAUGGCAGCCUUCCUGUAAAACAAAUUGGCAAAUUGUCACCUUCAGAUGGACCACAGCUGGCCCUCUGAACAGCCCUCCUUGGCCUUUCCAGAGUGUACAUGAUUGUGUCCCAUGUCCAGGGAGAGGACAGAGCCACCAGGAGGGUCAAGGUCGUGGAGGGAAACAUGGCUUGUUUCCCAUUGCAACAAGGCCUCCCACUGCAAGACAGAGAGGAAGAGCUCUGCCACCCAUGUGUGUAAGGCCAUGUGGAUACCUCAUGACAUCCUGGAAGGCCACAGGGCUGUGGCCGCCAUUCAACUUAGGUUGACAUGGCCAAGACCAUAGAGCUAAUGAGUGGCAAUGUUGAGCCUAGACCCUAAGUCUCUAGAUUCCUCCUGCAGGGCGCUGGGUGUUGUGGGGGCGUCUCUGAGGUGGGUCAGAGUGAACCUGCA